GUACACUUCCAUCUGGAAAAUAUAUAUCAUCACAGUAAAUGCCACGAACCAAAUGGGAAGCAGUUCCUCGGAUCCACUUUAUGUGGAUGUGACUUACAUCGGUAAGAGAAGGGGAAGUGGGUGGGGAAUUUGUUACUGUUACGUAGUUAUCAAAAUUGAAACUCUGUCUGGCUCUUCCUGGCUUAUGGGUGGAUUCCAGAUAAGAAAGAUGAGAGAACUCACAGUAUCUUCAUUAAGAAAGCACUGUCUUCUGUUUUCCUUGUCCCUCUUUAGAUCCAUUUUACAGGUCAUCAAACACAGUUUAAAGUUUUUGACCUAUAUCCAGGGCAAAAGUAUCUUGUCCAGACUCGCUGCAAGCCAGACCAUGGAUACUGGAGUAGAUGGAGCCAGGAGAGUUCCGUUGAAAUGCCAAAUGACUUCACCUUGAAGGACACAACCGUGUGGAUCAUUGUGGCCAUUCUCUCUGCUGUCAUCUGUUUGAUUAUGGUCUGGGCAGUGGCUUUGAAGGGCUAUAGCAUGAUGACCUGCAUCUUUCCACCAGUUCCUGGGCCAAAAAUAAAAGGAUUUGAUACCCAUCUGCUGGAGACUGGUUCUCCAAGCAAAUACAAGGUGGAUCUGUACCUGGCC
rnacentral:lncRNA from 1 species